UAAGCAUAUCAAUAAGCGGAGGAAAAGAAACCAACAGGGAUUGCCCUAGUAACGGCGAGUGAAGCGGCAACAGCUCAAAUUUGAAAUCUGGCUUCGGCCCGAGUUGUAAUUUGUAGAGGAAGCUUUAGGCGCGGCACCUUCUGAGUCCCCUGGAACGGGGCGCCAUAGAGGGUGAGAGCCCCGUAUAGUUGGAUGCCUAGCCUGUGUAAAGCUCCUUCGACGAGUCGAGUAGUUUGGGAAUGCUGCUCAAAAUGGGAGGUAAAUUUCUUCUAAAGCUAAAUAUUGGCCAGAGACCGAUAGCGCACAAGUAGAGUGAUCGAAAGAUGAAAAGCACUUUGAAAAGAGGGUUAAAUAGCACGUGAAAUUGUUGAAAGGGAAGCGCUUGUGACCAGACUUGCGCCGGGCGGAUCAUCCGGUGUUCUCACCGGUGCACUCCGCCCGGCUCAGGCCAGCAUCGGUUCUCGUGGGGGGAUAAAGGCCCUGGGAACGUAGCUCCUCCGGGAGUGUUAUAGCCCAGGGUGUAAUGCCCUCGCGGGGACCGAGGUUCGCGCAUCUGCAAGGAUGCUGGCGUAAUGGUCAUCAGCGACCCGUCUUGAAACACGGACCAAGGAGUCAAGGUUUUGCGCGAGUGUUUGGGUGUUAAACCCGCACGCGUAAUGAAAGUGAACGUAGGUGAGAGCUUCGGCGCAUCAUCGACCGAUCCUGAUGUAUUCGGAUGGAUUUGAGUAGGAGCGUUAAGCCUUGGACCCGAAAGAUGGUGAACUAUGCUUGGAUAGGGUGAAGCCAGAGGAAACUCUGGUGGAGGCUCGCAGCGGUUCUGACGUGCAAAUCGAUCGUCAAAUCUGAGCAUGGG
rnacentral:rRNA from 1 species